GGUCGGGCCGCCGAAGUCGCGUCGCACCACCAGGCUAACUCCGCCGUCGCGACCGGUCUGGCGGUCACCUCCCGCCGUCGGAGCGGGCGGCCGAGGUCGCGGUGCGCCGCCAGGCAGCGCAGCGUGAGCGUGAGGUCCCAGGGGCCGUGGCUGCUGCUCGCGGACGCGCCACCGUUGGCGCCCGUGCGUGUCUGCCACCCGCCCCGCAUUGCCCACAGCCCGGUCAGUAUGAUUCUGUGUGGUGUGGUGGAGCCCCCGGACAUCAUUCAUGUGUGUGCAAUGAGGAAAGGGACUCCUGUCUGCGCCUUGGAACCUUGCUAAUUUCCCAGCAAUUAUGGAUGGGUGUUUGUUCUACACCUCUGAACCCACGGAAGGUGGUUGGAUGGUUGUGUGAUCAAGCACACUGCACCAGAUUGUUGUCCUUUGUUGGUAGGCAGGCCCUGAAAAGAUCAGCAAAAAAAGCGUUAAGUUAACGAAUGGCAGAUGGAUCUGGGACAUCAAGGUCCAGCUAUUGGUGCCAGCAAUCAUGCAACUGUGUGAGCUUUGGGGCAGAUUCUCACAAGUCCGCUCAACCCUUUGGUUGAUGAUGAUCAAUACAGCUCGAAGGUCCAUUUUCUACGGCAGACGACAGAAUUUCCUGGCACCAAUGAGGUGCUGGACGUCGGAUAGAUUGGCUCGCAGAGGAUUGCAACAUCAGCCGCAUUGCCUUAUAGUUCCAAGAGCCAGAACAAUCAGACACCCAAUGGUGCAAUGUUCUCUGUCCAGGGCAAUCUGGUUUGACACCUUGCAAGACGUCAGUCUCCAGCCUUGUCCCUCAACUGUGCCGUCUCAGGGGCUGUUUGCAUCGCUUACACAAAAAGCAGCCUGAGUCAGGCACAAUUCUCAGGCGUCCGAUUUUGUAGGCCUGAGGCUGAGAUCUCUGCCUGAGUGAAUAGCUGCCUGAUAGGCCUCAACGAGUGGUGGCAUUCAGCUAACCAUGUGGUUCCUGUCAGGCGAUGUCGCGACCUGAAACUCGACCGGGGUCAUGUGUAUGCACAUCCACUGGUUGGAACGCAACGGAAGGGUCUUCGACAACGUCACCAACCAGAGGCAGGGUGUUCUUCGUAGCACGAAGGCCCGUCUUUAAAUCUUUCAGCCUAGCAUUGCUGGUGGUACGUAGUGUCCUUCUCGUUUCUGGUAAACGUGCACAAUUCGAACGGACUUGUCACAAAAUCUUGUACAGUACUAUACUCUCUUUUCUCAUAAUAAUAAUCAA